AAGACGUUGAUGUCUUUUAGUUUAGUUUUGCAUAUAUAGUGCAAAUCUAAACUAAAAGACAUCAACGUCU